UCGAGAAUUUUUCUCAAUGGGGGAAACCCUGAAGGAGCGACGCCGCGUGGGGGAUGAAUGGCUUCGGCCCGUAAACCCCUGUCAUCUGCGAGCAAUUCCUCAAACUUAAUAGGUUUGAGGUCGAUAGUAGUGGAAGAGGAAGGGACGGCUAACUCUGUGCCAGCAGCCGCGGUAAUACAGAGGUCCCAAGCGUUGUUCGGAUUUACUGGGCGUAAAGGGUGCGUAGGUGGCUAAAAUAGUUUGGUGUGAAAUCUCGGGGCUCAACUCCGAAACAGCAUUAAAUACUCUUUAGCUUGAGGAAUGGAGGGGAGAUUGGAAUUCUCGGUGUAGCAGUGAAAUGCGUAGAUAUCGAGAGGAACACCAGUGGCGAAGGCGAAUCUCUGGACGUAUCCUGACACUGAGGCACGAAAGCCAAGGGAGCAAACGGGAUUAGAUACCCCGGUAGUCCCUGAGCGGGCUGGCAAGGCGCAU
rnacentral:rRNA from 1 species